rnacentral:rRNA from 1 species
GGUUAAGCGACUAAGCGUACACGGUGGAUGCCCUGGCAGUCAGAGGCGAUGAAGGACGUGCUAAUCUGCGAAAAGCGUCGGUAAGGUGAUAUGAACCGUUACAGCCGGCGAUGUCCGAAUGGGGAAACCCAGUGCAAUUCGUUGCACUAUCGUUAACUGAAUACAUAGGUUAACGAGGCGAACCGGGGGAACUGAAACAUCUAAGUACCCCGAGGAAAAGAAAUCAACCGAGAUUCCCCCAGUAGCGGCGAGCGAACGGGGAGCAGCCCAGAGUCUGAAUCAGCUUGUGUGUUAGUGGAACGGUCUGGAAAGUCCGACGGUACAGGGUGAUAGUCCCGUACACCAAAAUGCACAGGCUGUGAACUCGAAGAGUAGGGCGGGACACGUGGUAUCCUGUCUGAAUAUGGGGGGACCAUCCUCCAAGGCUAAAUACUCCUGACUGACCGAUAGUGAACCAGUACCGUGAGGGAAAGGCGAAAAGAACCCCGGCGAGGGGAGUGAAAAAGAACCUGAAACCGUGUACGUACAAGCAGUGGGAGCACCUUCGGGUGUGACUGCGUACCUUUUGUAUAAUGGGUCAGCGACUUAUAUUCUGUAGCAAGGUUAACCGUAUAGGGGAGCCGCAGGGAAACCGAGUCUUAACUGGGCGUUAAGUUGCAGGGUAUAGACCCGAAACCCGGUGAUCUAGCCAUGGGCAGGUUGAAGGUUGGGUAACACUAACUGGAGGACCGAACCGACUAAUGUUGAAAAAUUAGCGGAUGACUUGUGGCUGGGGGUGAAAGGCCAAUCAAACCGGGAGAUAGCUGGUUCUCCCCGAAAGCUAUUUAGGUAGCGCCUCGUGAACUCAUCUUCGGGGGUAGAGCACUGUUUCGGCUAGGGGGUCAUCCCGACUUACCAACCCGAUGCAAACUACGAAUACCGAAGAAUGUUAUCACGGGAGACACACGGCGGGUGCUAACGUCCGUCGUGAAGAGGGAAACAACCCAGACCGCCAGCUAAGGUCCCAAAGUCAUGGUUAAGUGGGAAACGAUGUGGGAAGGCACAGACAGCCAGGAUGUUGGCUUAGAAGCAGCCAUCAUUUAAAGAAAGCGUAAUAGCUCACUGGUCGAGUCGGCCUGCGCGGAAGAUGUAACGGGGCUAAACCAUGCACCGAAGCUGCGGCAGCGACACUAUGUGUUGUUGGGUAGGGGAGCGUUCUGUAAGCCUGCGAAGGUGACCUGUGAGGGUUGCUGGAGGUAUCAGAAGUGCGAAUGCUGACAUAAGUAACGAUAAAGCGGGUGAAAAGCCCGCUCGCCGGAAGACCAAGGGUUCCUGUCCAACGUUAAUCGGGGCAGGGUGAGUCGACCCCUAAGGCGAGGCCGAAAGGCGUAGUCGAUGGGAAACAGGUUAAUAUUCCUGUACUUGGUGUUACUGCGAAGGGGGGACGGAGAAGGCUAUGUUAGCCGGGCGACGGUUGUCCCGGUUUAAGCAUGUAGGCUGGUUGUCCAGGCAAAUCCGGAUAAUCAAGGCUGAGGUGUGAUGACGAGGCACUACGGUGCUGAAGUAACAAAUGCCCUGCUUCCAGGAAAAGCCUCUAAGCAUCAGGUAACAUUAAAUCGUACCCCAAACCGACACAGGUGGUCAGGUAGAGAAUACCAAGGCGCUUGAGAGAACUCGGGUGAAGGAACUAGGCAAAAUGGUGCCGUAACUUCGGGAGAAGGCACGCUGGUGUGUAGGUGAAGUCCCUGCGGAUGGAGCUGAGACCAGUCGAAGAUACCAGCUGGCUGCAACUGUUUAUUAAAAACACAGCACUGUGCAAACACGAAAGUGGACGUAUACGGUGUGACGCCUGCCCGGUGCCGGAAGGUUAAUUGAUGGGGUUAUCCGUAAGGAGAAGCUCUUGAUCGAAGCCCCGGUAAACGGCGGCCGUAACUAUAACGGUCCUAAGGUAGCGAAAUUCCUUGUCGGGUAAGUUCCGACCUGCACGAAUGGCGUAAUGAUGGCCAGGCUGUCUCCACCCGAGACUCAGUGAAAUUGAACUCGCUGUGAAGAUGCAGUGUACCCGCGGCAAGACGGAAAGACCCCGUGAACCUUUACUAUAGCUUGACACUGAACAUUGAGCCUUGAUGUGUAGGAUAGGUGGGAGGCUUUGAAGCGUGGACGCCAGUCUGCGUGGAGCCAACCUUGAAAUACCACCCUUUAAUGUUUGAUGUUCUAACGUUGGCCCCUGACCGGGGUUGCGGACAGUGUCUGGUGGGUAGUUUGACUGGGGCGGUCUCCUCCCAAAGCGUAACGGAGGAGCACGAAGGUUAGCUAAUCCUGGUCGGACAUCAGGAGGUUAGUGCAAUGGCAUAAGCUAGCUUGACUGCGAGCGUGACGGCGCGAGCAGGUGCGAAAGCAGGUCAUAGUGAUCCGGUGGUUCUGAAUGGAAGGGCCAUCGCUCAACGGAUAAAAGGUACUCCGGGGAUAACAGGCUGAUACCGCCCAAGAGUUCAUAUCGACGGCGGUGUUUGGCACCUCGAUGUCGGCUCAUCACAUCCUGGGGCUGAAGUAGGUCCCAAGGGUAUGGCUGUUCGCCAUUUAAAGUGGUACGCGAGCUGGGUUUAGAACGUCGUGAGACAGUUCGGUCCCUAUCUGCCGUGGGCGCUGGAGAAUUGAGGGGGGCUGCUCCUAGUACGAGAGGACCGGAGUGGACGCAUCACUGGUGUUCGGGUUGUCAUGCCAAUGGCACUGCCCGGUAGCUAAAUGCGGAAGAGAUAAGUGCUGAAAGCAUCUAAGCACGAAACUUGCCCCGAGAUGAGUUCUCCCUGAGACUUUAAGUCUCCUGAAGGAACGUUAAAGACGAUGACGUUGAUAGGCCGGGUGUGUAAGCGCAGCGAUGCGUUGAGCUAACCGGUACUAAUGAACCGUGAGGCUUAACCUU